rnacentral:rRNA from 1 species
GGGGUUGCGGGCGCGGAUUCGCCCUUCAGGCCUAACCAUGCAAGUCGAGCGGAUGAAGGGAGCUUGCUCCCUGAUUUAGCGGCGGACGGGUGAGUAAUGCCUAGGAAUCUGCCUGGUAGUGGGGGAUAACGUUCCGAAAGGAACGCUAAUACCGCGUACGUCCUACGGGAGAAAGCAGGGGACCUUCGGGCCUUGCGCUACCAGAUGAGCCUAGGUCGAAUUAGCUAGUUGGUGAGGUAAUGGCUCACCAAGGCGACGAUCCGUAACUGGUCUGAGAGGAUGAUCAGUCACACUGGAACUGAGACACGGUCCAGACUCCUACGGGAGGCAGCAGUGGGGAAUAUUGGACAAUGGGCGAAAGCCUGAUCCAGCCAUGCCGCGUGUGUGAAGAAGGUCUUCGGAUUGUAAAGCACUUUAAGUUGGGAGGAAGGGCUGCUGGUUAAUACCCUGCAGUUUUGACGUUACCAACAGAAUAAGCACCGGCUAACUUCGUGCCAGCAGCCGCGGUAAUACGAAGGGUGCAAGCGUUAAUCGGAAUUACUGGGCGUAAAGCGCGCGUAGGUGGUUCGUUAAGUUGGAUGUGAAAGCCCCGGGCUCAACCUGGGAACUGCAUCCAAAACUGGCGAGCUAGAGUACGGUAGAGGGUGGUGGAAUUUCCUGUGUAGCGGUGAAAUGCGUAGAUAUAGGAAGGAACACCAGUGGCGAAGGCGACCACCUGGACUGAUACUGACACUGAGGUGCGAAAGCGUGGGGAGCAAACAGGAUUAGAUACCCUGGUAGUCCACGCCGUAAACGAUGUCAACUAGCCGUUGGAAUCCUUGAGAUUUUAGUGGCGCAGCUAACGCAUUAA